ensembl:lncRNA
AGCACAGACACUUCACCCAAAGGAGGAUUUGAAGUUUCAACAUCCUGUGUCUUAUCUCUGAACACUGACCAUCACUCAGGCAGCCACCCAGCAGGCUGAGGCGCCAAGCAGGUGAUGCCCUUCAGGGUGAUUUCCUUUUGAAGUGCUCAGAAAGGAUUUUUAAAAAUCAAAGAAGAAAACAUCUUGAAAAAAUUGGCUGCUGGUGGUACUGUCUCUUCCAAGUUGACAUCAUCAAUCAACCAACAGUGUAGGAGAACUGUCAAAUUCCAGCAGCACGAGGGACAAGAGAAACAGACACCUGGAAAAUGGGAAGCCGCUCUACAGCACAGCUGGAGCCGUGGGGCUGUGAUUCGCCGGGAGAGAAUUUAAUGGGGUUCGGGCUCAAAAAAUUUAAAAAAAAAGCCAGUUGAAAAUGGUAUGCACAGAGAAAGUCUCAACAAAGACUAAACAGACAAUUUUGAAUUGUUUUCCCUGCAAGGUAUGUGGGAUCUUAGCUUCCUCAACCAGCGAUCAAACCCACAACCCCUGCAUUGGAAGGUGAAGUUUUACCCACUGGACCAUCAGAGGAGUCCCAGGCCCAGAUAGUUAAUGUGACUCCUCCUUGGAGGUUUCCAGAGGAACAGUGGAAGGAUAGAGGAAGGACAAAAUCAUUUCUUCUUCUUCUUGUUUCCUAUUCUUUUCAUCAUUCCUCUGGCAACACUACUCCUCAAUCCAUGAUCAGCAUAUUGUACCUGUAGUAGCAACUGUUUUGAGUAUGCAGGUCUAUAACAUUUUCAUAAGCAGAAUCACUGGCUCUCUCAGAGCACCAGCCAGGUGACAUUCCCUUCUUAAAAGUCUCAGCAUCAGUUCCAAUGGGGACCUCGUCGUUUGUUCAUAGUAAUUCCAAUCUCAUCGCUCGUUGUCUCCUAGCCCUAGAGGUGGUAGUUGAUCCUAUAGCUAUUUGCUACUUGGUGAUAUUAAGUGGUCAAUAGUUGCCUUUUCUACUCUCCAGUACUUAGUUAAUAAUAAUUUCUAAAUUAAUUUGUAUUAGAGUAUAGUUGCUUUACAAUGUUGCAUUAGUUUCUGUGAGGUGUGCUUAGUUACUCAGUCAUGUCCAACUCUUUGGGACUCCAUGGACUGCAGCCUGCCAGGCUCCUCUGUCCAUGGAGAAUCUC